GUCUAGAGGCUUCGGCAAUGGGCGCAAGCCUGACCGAGCGACGCCGCGUGGAGGAUGAAGCCCUUCGGGGUGUAAACUCCUUUCGGAUGGGGAAAAGGCCCUGGUGGCGAACCAGGGAUUGAUCCUCCCGUCGGAAGAAGCCCCGGCCAACUCCGUGCCAGCAGCCGCGGUAAUACGGAGGGGGCAAGCGUUAUUCGGAUUCAUUGGGCGUAAAGGGCGCGCAGGCGGCUCGGCAAGUCUGAUGUGAAAUCUCCCGGCUCACCCGGGAGGGGCCAUUGGAAACUGCCGAGCUUGAGGUCCGGAGAGGCCGGCGGAAUUCCCGGUGUAGCGGUGGAAUGCGUAGAUAUCGGGAAGAACACCAGUGGCGAAGGCGGCCGGCUGGACGGCACCUGACGCUGAGGCGCGAAAGUGCGGGGAGCAAACGGGAUUAGAAACCCCUGUAGUCC
rnacentral:rRNA from 1 species